UACGUAGGGUGCAAGCGUUGUCCGGAAUCAUUGGGCGUAAAGAGCGUGUAGGCGGCCAGAAAAGUCCGCUGUGAAAACUCGAGGCUCAACCUCGAGACGUCGGCGGAAACCAUCUGGCUAGAGUCCGGAAGAGGAGAGUGGAAUUCCUGGUGUAGCGGUGAAAUGCGCAGAUAUCAGGAAGAACACCCGUGGCGAAGGCGGCUCUCUGGGACGGUACUGACGCUGAGACGCGAAAGCGUGGGGAGCAAACAGG
rnacentral:rRNA from 1 species